UUGCAGGCAGCAUAAGGCCAGUGGCAAAAGUACAUCUCACAAGAACCAACCGGCUUCAGGUGUGGAUCUCACUGUUGUUAUCAUUGUCUGUUAUCACCCUGCAGCUUAGUGAGGCACGAGCCAGAGCAGCUUGAAGUCUCAGGUGAUUUGUGUUUGCAAUGCAUUUUGAAGGCGUAUCUUGAGCUCUGGGUGAGGCUUGAAGGCACACACCAACCCUGCCAGGUGGAAGCUGAAAAGUGAUCCUUACAAUUGCUGUCUCUAUAGGAGUCACUGGACUGUCAGAAUGGAGAGGAAAGGAUAGGAAGGUACAGGCUGAGGGCAACACUCCUAUGGACACCAUUCCUCUUCAAUGCCAGGGUUUGGUCUAUUUAUCUAGGACAGUGCAUGUACUAGGAUAGCCAUGCAGAAGAGUCAGACCUCCAAAGCUGAGGCAGAAAUAAGGAUUUUGUCAUGAAACACACCUAAGCAUAGUCGUGUGUGGCUGGUAAUAUGUGGAAGAUGCUGAUGCUGGGAGUCUCGUCUGUCUGGGUUGUAGUUUCUGAAACACAAUUGCAGUUAAAAUGUUCAGCAGUGGUGUUGCAAAGGUGUGGAAGGCUUAGGUACUAUGUGUAGGAUUCAUUGUGCCACUCAUUGACAAGCCAAUGAAUCUGAGGUUCUCCUUACUAUCCAUGGAAAGCAAGGUGCUUUUGUUUACUGCCUGUGCAGGUCCGGACCUUGCCUUGGGUACGCAGUGGGGACUUGCUGAGAGAGGACAUGAGUGGAGAUGAGGAGCUUUUGGAAUAACAUGAAGAAGAGGUGCUGCCACAGCCACAAAGUGGGUCUAAUUUGUGUACUGAAGGAAGGAGCUGUGUGGGAAAAUACUGCCUGAUCAGACAAUCCAAACCAUGUCUGCAUAAUUCUUGUAUGUAUGGGAGAUGCAUUAAGCUAUCAAAGGUAAUUUUAAAUUAGUGUUUUCUAACGUUUGUGUGCCUGUUCUGCCAAGCUUAUUAGUAUUCCUUCAAAGAGGGGGUUUGAUUUGUUUUGGAAUAAAGAUUAUUUAUUCUAAUUAUGCAUAGGAAAUAGCUAGUUCUAUUUUUCUUACAAAAUAUUUUUGCAAAUAAUAGAGUGCCCUUCUCUUGACAUUCCUCUGCAACUUGGGUUCAGCAUUUAAAGAUGAUAAAUGGGCAUCAAGCUCAGCAUUUCUACCACCUCCUACCUGCUUUGACUCUUGUUUCAUUAGAAUUUCAGCAAUGUGCUGGUUCAUGGCAGAUAACCUCCUCUCCCUCUCCAGAGUGCCUGUGAGUGUGUAGGGGGUGAGGGAAUGGGUGCAUUUCUCAUCUCCUCAGCAUUUAUUACAUUCCUUUUUCUCUACCUCCUCUGCAGCAAUAAAUCAAUGCUACUUGUUAUUGUCUACUACUUGGGCAGCGUCUCGGGGGGAGAGGCAGACUCUCCUGACUAUAAUGCCAUGUGUUUCAUCAAAUGCUAAAACAGAGACAAAUAUCCAGAGUAAACCAGUCUUGUUUUUGCAGCUUUUGAGGGGAAGGAUCCUAUCCAAGUCCUGCCAGCUGCAUCACCCAUCAAGACACUUUGUCACACAGGCUGCAGUUACCAGCCCCAGCCUUAAGUUGCCUGCACAAGCAGAAGAGAGCAGUGUGUCACUGGAGCAAUGUUUCUGGUUUUACUCUGGGAAGGAAAAUUUAAAGUUUCUGGUGCUGAUGACUAUUUCCUGCCAGCAGGCAGCUCCAGGACUGGGAUGCUGGAUGAACUUUUCCUGUAUUUGUGUUGAGAUGUGUUCAUGCUCCUUGCACUUCUGCCACUUGUUAAUGGCAAGUAAGGCCCUAGAAAUAUGCUAUGGGUGAAGUAAAACACAGCCUGAUUACUGUUUACUCUAUCAAGAGCAGAAACACACACACUGUAACCUGGAGAAACUGUAGAUAUGGCACUUGGGGACAUGUUUAGUGGUGGAUUUGGCAACCUGAAUGAUUCUGUUAUUGUAAAUGAAAAGCAUCUUCAUAGUGGGACUGUGGCUUGCAGCAAUUCCCUGGAGAAACUUUGCCCAGAAAGCCUCUGCCUUUUUGUUUUGUUGCCUGCUUUCUAAUCACAGCAAACUGUUUUCCUUCACACAGGCUUCCUGAUUUUAUCCUGGAAAAAAAGGCCUUCCCACAAACCUGACCCUACAACCAGAGAUUAGAUGUUCACUCUCCUCUCCCUGCUGAGAACACCCUGAAGAGAUGGGCUGGAGAAAUGAUCAUGAAAGAAAUCGGUGUGGUGGAGGAGUGGGUGAGAAAGGCAGGCACAUGACUUCUAGAACAGGGGUGUUUGGCUGGUCCAAGCCCAGAAGCACAAAAAAAUACCUGACACACCUGCACAGGAAUCCAGAACCAAUUUACACAGGCAGAUUUAAGCUGGGGUUGCAGCUGGGGUUUUUUCGUCCUUAACCCCUUCCAGUGUUAACUGAGGUAACUCAUAUGGGAACCUUCAAUGCAGAAGUUACUGAAGGGGUUUGCAGGCAGAUUCUCAGGGUUUGAGUGCCAAAAAAGGCCCCCUGACACAUUAACAUGUUUUUAUUGUGGCUUUGUAAAUAUAUUUUGCAUUUUCUUUCUGCAGUGGCAAAAGGUGUACAGUUAGAUUCCCCCCCAAGCAAGAAGUGUACUUUAUCAAGCCUUGGUUUGUCAGCAAUGGCAUUGGUAAAAGCAUGCACACACAUGCACCUCUUUCUCUGUGUCUUCCCUAAACUUUGACUAGUUUUUUAUACAGUGGCUGCCUCAAGCUACUGACAAACUAACAAAAUGUGCUGGGUAUGAAAAAAACCCAUCAACUCCAAUUCAACUCAGAUUCCUUCUCCUGCUCUGAUUUCACCAUUUCUUCCUGCCCCUACCCUGGUUUUCAAGGGCACAUGCAGGGGUCAGGAUGCUUUUUUCAGACCUUUCAAGGGAAGAUGAUGUUCUUGCAUCAGACUUCACUCAGACAUAGCCUCCUCUGCCAGGGGACUGUGAGGGCAGACCCACAGCCUGUGCUGCAGAGGCAGGCCUGACAUGCAGAAAGGACCCAUCUCCUUCCUGCUGCUUUUCGAGGCUCCAAAACCUGUUGAUGAAAAGCAGACGAAAAAGUAUUACAUGCAGAAAGGGAAGGGGUUGCUUUCUGUUUACUUCUUUGUUCCCCUUUCCUAAAAAACUAUCUCCCCAGCCUUCAGGCAAUUGUCAGGGUGUGGACUCACAUGGUGAUAGACCUCAGAUGGGUUUGCAAAUACAGUGCAGAGUUUGAGGGAGAUCUCUGGUUCAAGAGCCCUCCUUGCCCCGUGGCAUGGUGGGAGGGGGUAGAAAAAGGGACAGUUUUAUUUAGUUUUCAAUAAUUAGUUUAUGUCAAAUAAUUCCAUGUUGCCAUAGUUGUGAGAGAGCAGUGAGUUUUGUUCAACAGGUGGCCUUUCUCUGCACACUCUCUGCUUACACUGGAUACUAGUUUGCCAGUUUCCUCUGUAGAGAUUAUUUAGAUCUCAUAGUGCUGACCAAACAUCCUUAAUGUGGACAAAAGGAUUUCAGGGUUUAUGCAAUCAAAUACUGUAGGGAUAUCCAGCAGUGUGAAUGCAAGCAACAGCCAAGAGCAGACCAUUCAUCACUGUCACUAGGCACUGUUUCUGUUUCACAUGCCAGUUAGAUGCUGAACUGGAAGAUGUCCAGGAUCUUGCAGGAUUGAGAUGGAGAUAGGACCAGCCCUUCUCACGGGCUUUUAUCAUGUUCAAGGUAGAGCAAGAUCAGAUACUGGGUUAUAUUGAGAGAAUUUGCUUGCAUAAAGCAACAAUUAAAUAAUGAUAAGCUUUAGGUGGAGGUUAAACGUCUUUUCUGGAGGAAAGCAUGGAUGACCUCACGCUUUGGCUUUUUUUUCUCCUGGAAAAAACAGAAAGCAAGAAUGACAAUGGAGAUUUCCAUUACUUUCCUCUGACUCUGUUGUGUAGAAGGGGUUGAAUUGGGAGGUAGAGAGUAUUGACUUGCUGGUCAAUAAGAAGCCUGUAUAGAGUCUUCCUUCCCGAAAUGCCACAUUGGAUGGAAAUAGUUUUCUGCAAGAAGCAGGCUAAGAAGGAUGGGUAAUAAAGAUGUUCAAGGCUGACAAGGCUAUCCAUGGCUCAGAAUAAGGAAGGAAGUGUAAUUAGGGAAUCCUUUGACUGAACCUAUGUGGAUUGCUUUCAGAACAGGGUAGGACAGGAUAUAUAUAAGUGAGCAAGUUUUAAACCAUCAAGCAAGGAACCUUGGUCUAUAGUAGCUAUUUUAAUCUUGUUUUGAAUUCAUAUUUGUUUGCUUUCUUUAAGGAGAAUAAAUUCUUAUUGCUUGGUAAAUACUAAAUUGCAUCUCUUAAAUAAGGUAUGGCUGCUAAUAUAAUUACAUUCUGGGUGUUUUUUGUUAAUGUUAGCCAGGAGCAGAAGAGGUCCUAGAGGAUACACAGCAUGGGAGGCCCCCAAUGCAAAAGAUAUAGAUUUGUUUGGAAACAUAGCUUUAAUAGGUUUUUUUUUUCAGAGCAGGAAAUGGUAAGUGAUCUACUCUUUUUUUGUUGUUGUUAUUAUUGUGUUUAUGUUGGAUUCUACUCCCACGGAAAGUGGAAUUAAAUGGAAAAUGAAAUACACUUAUUUUACAAAGAUGCAUUUGUGAAAAUGAUGCAGUUGAAUUGAUCUGAUUGCUCAGGUUUUCAAGAUUUUAGAUGAAUUCAUCUGAUCCUUUGGCCCCAGAGUCUAGAAGUGGGAAAAAAGGUCCUCCUGGUUCUCCAGCUCUCAGAUAUCCUCAGCCUAGAGUGAAUAAGACGGCAGACUGAGCUUAUCCACCUGCCCGAUGCCCCUGGAUCCUUACAGAAAGAAUGCUUCUGAGGAACUACUACUGCACCCACCAUGAAAGCAUGGAGAAGAAAACCUCACCCCACAGUGUCUGCUCACCAUUCUUUCUCCUCCCAUGGUGACUCCUUGUGGGUUUUAUUUGCACUCAAAAUUAAGCACAAGUCUGAGUUUGCUCUCAUAAGCAGGCUUGUCCUAUGCUCAUGGUUUAGAUCUCGAGGGCAGCCCUGGAAGGUCUCUGGAAGCAGUUGAUAGAAACUCCAUGAGGUCAGUUAAGCUGCUCACAGGCAGCACCAUGAGCCACGUGAGAUGCUGUGGGACAGCUGAGGUGCUCAGGCUGGUCUGGCAGACAUGGCACAGCACCUACAGGAGGCACAUGCCCACCUGGAGAGGCAGCCAGAGGCCAACCACACCACUGCAGGACAGCUCCAGUGUUCCAGAAGAUACAGCACACACGUGGUGCCUACAGCUCCCACGUACAGCCUGAGCUCCCAGUGCAGCCAGCUGAAACCCAGACAGUGCAGCCAGCAGCAUCUGAAAGCUGCACAUGGGACCAAAUGCUGGGGUGCAAACCAGUUGCAUCAACACAAGUAUCAAUUUUCUUUUGAGGUGUUCUCUCAUAUUUCAACUAUUCAUACAGACUGGCAAACACGAUUUGGAACUGUUAAUAGUAUCUAGGAGGACCAGUUAGACACUAGGUAGGAUAGUCAAGCAACUCUGUUUUGGCAAGCAAAUUUCUAGGUCUAAAGAGAGGCUCAUGCUCUGUGGAAUGAACAACAGAUGAUUCAAGUUUAGAACCAGCCCAAGAGCAAAGAGCUCCGACUUGGCUCCUCCUGUGUUGAGCUAUGGUGGUGCCUCAGCACACAGCGUGAAUGAGGAGCUUGUGCGUCACAAUGCUCACGAGCUAACCUCUUGCCAAGUUCUCUCCUCACCUCCUAGACAGAAGCUGCACCUCCACUUAGCCUGUGGCAACCACUGACCAAAGGGCUGGCCUUGCUGGAAUGCCAGGGAUAAGCAAGUCUUCCAACAUGAUCUGCUGAACUGAUUAAUCUCUCCACACACACCCUAUCUUCACUUCCAAGUCUCCAGAAGAGCCUUGAGGAUAUGAGGGAAAUGCAGCACUUCAAGAAAGAAUAUUUGUGCUUCCUGGGAUGACAUUUCCCUUGGAAAUAAGCAGGAGAUCACAUCCUGAAAUGUUCUCACUCCAACAGGAGCACCCAGGACCGUCUGAUGGGAGAAUGGAAGAACAAAGAAAACAUGAAAUUACAAAUUGGCUUCAGAAAGAGAAUAUAAAGUCUUCUCAUGGCUAUACAGGUCAAACCACAUAUUUCUCUGGUCUACAUGCAAGCCUGUUCAAAUGGCAGCUCUUUGACCUACAGGAAUGGGAUGCAACUCAUAACUACAAAGAGAAUACUGAGAAAACUUCUCCAAAUGAGAAAAUCGUCUGUCAGAUCUGCAUUUUCUAGAUCCCUUGGAGCAAUAAGUAGAAGCAACAACCACAUCUGAAGGGCUUUUUACCUUUUUACCAGCUCUGUACCCUCUCCUGAACUUCAACUCUUGUUAACCUCAUCAGUUCCCUGUGUGUGCUCUGCAGAAUUAAGCAACUUCGUGAAAAAUCAAACAGGGCCAUGACCCCAACAACAACAUUCCCCAGGGCUACAAAACCACAUCACCAAUUGCUAACCUUCUUCCUCUGCCACUGUCCUGCCCCAGGAUGUGCUGAGAUUCCUGUCCUGUGGUUUGUCACAUUGGGAUACGUGUCUGCUUCUGGAAAACAGGUCAUGAACAGCCAUGCUCAUGACCCUUAACUCUGCUCUUUAGCUGUGACUGCAGUAUGACACGUUUCUCAAACUUGGUCUUAAAAUCAGUUGUAAGAGGGGCUCUCCAAUUUAGAUAUUGUACUUCAGAUCCCCACAACCUUUUCCUUCAGAAAUCUUUCCCUAACAGCUAACUUUUGCUGUAAUUCAAGUACAUUGCUUCUCUUCCAACCUUCAGUGGCCCCAGAGAGUAAUUUAUUUCCCCAUUUUGGCAGGAGUCAUUUAGCUGGUGACAGUCAAGGGACAUUUCUCAUGUCUUCUUUUGCUUUUCCCUCAUCUUCCAGUCUGUACAGGGGCAUGACUUGACCUUCCAAAUUUUGGAGAGGCAAAUUUAUUGUAAUAUCUGUGGGAUCCAGCACCUCCUUGAAAUCAGAAGCUGGCGAAACAGGAGCAAGAGGAGAUCCUCCCUUGGCAGUGCCAGCAGCGCACUGCAGGGCUGAGCAAACCAUGCCCAGGGUGGGUCUGGGCUGUUUUAAGAAUAAGGAUAUUUGUCAAACUUCAGCUGGAGGAAUGCUCUGCAUAUAGGGAGUGUCAAGGAAGAAGACACAAAGUCCAGGCAUGAAUCAAAAAUGGACUGAAAGGCAAAGGGAAAUCAAACUACUGAGGUGGGAGCGGUGUGAAGCUUUGCUGCCGACAGCCCUGGGGAAGAGGGAGAGCAGGGCAUGUCAAGGCAUGGAGGCAGCAUCCAUGUCACCUGCUACUGCAUGUCUACAAAACAACUAUUUACAUCUGAUCCAUUUGGAUCCCCGCUGAGUCAAUGCAAAGGAAUACACAGCACAUUUGAAAUGUCUGCC